UACGUAGGGGGCUAGCGUUGUCCGGAAUCAUUGGGCGUAAAGAGCGUGUAGGCGGCUCGGUAAGUCCGCUGUAAAAGUCAAAGGCUCAACCUUUGAAUGUCAGUGGAUACUGCCGGGCUAGAGUCCGGAAGAGGCGAGUGGAACUCCUGGUGUAGCGGUGGAAUGCGCAGAUAUCGGGAAGAACACCCGUGGCGAAGGCGGUUCUCUGGGACGGUACUGACGCUGAGACGCGAAAGCGUGGGGAGCAAACAGG
rnacentral:rRNA from 1 species